AAGAACCAACAGGGAUUGCCCUAGUAACGGCGAGUGAAGCGGCAACAGCUCAAAUUUGAAAUCUGGCCCUUGGGUCCGAAUUGUAAUUUGUAGAGGAUGCUUUUGGUGCGGUGCCUUCCGAGUUCCCUGGAACGGGACGCCAGAGAGGGUGAGAGCCCCGUACGGUUGGACACCUACCCUAUAUAUAGCUCCUUCGACGAGUCGAGUAGUUUGGGAAUGCUGCUCUAAAUGGGAGGUAAAUUUCUUCUAAAGCUAAAUACCGGCCAGAGACCGAUAGCGCACAAGUAGAGUGAUCGAAAGAUGAAAAGCACUUUGAAAAGAGGGUUAAAUAGCACGUGAAAUUGUUGAAAGGGAAGCGUUUGUGACCAGACUUUUUCCUAGUGGAUCAUCCGGUGUUCUCACCGGUGCACUUCACUGGGUUUAGGCCAGCAUCGGUUUCCGGAGGGGGACAAAAGCCUGGGGAAUGUGGCUCCUUCGGGAGUGUUAUAGCCCCUAGUAUAAUACCUCUCCUGGGGACCGAGGACCGCGCUUCGGCAAGGAUGCUGGCGUAAUGGUUAUCAACGACCCGUCUUGAAACACGGACCAAGGAGUCGAACAUUUGUGCGAGUGUUUGGGUAUCAAACCCUCACGCGUAAUGAAAGUGAACGGAGGUGAGAGCCCUUCGGGGUGCAUCAUCGACCGAUCCUGAUGUCUUCGGAUGGAUUUGAGUAAGAGCAUAACUGUUCGGACCCGAAAGAUGGUGAACUAUGCGUGGAUAGGGUGAAGCCAGAGGAAACUCUGGUGGAGGCUCGCAGCGGUUCUGACGUGCAAAUCGAUCGUCAAAUCUGCGCAUGGGGGCGAAAGACUUAUCGAACCAUCUAGUAGCUGGUUA
rnacentral:rRNA from 1 species